GAUGAACGCUGGCGGCGUGCCUAAUACAUGCAAGUCGAGCGAACAGACGAGGAGCUUGCUCCUCUGACGUUAGCGGCGGACGGGUGAGUAACACGUGGAUAACCUACCUAUAAGACUGGGAUAACUUCGGGAAACCGGAGCUAAUACCGGAUAAUAUAUUGAACCGCAUGGUUCAAUAGUGAAAGACGGUUUUGCUGUCACUUAUAGAGGGAUCCGCGCCGCAUUAGCUAGUUGGUAAGGUAACGGCUUACCAAGGCAACGAUGCGUAGCCGACCUGAGAGGGUGAUCGGCCACACUGGAACUGAGACACGGUCCAGACUCCUACGGGAGGCAGCAGUAGGGAAUCUUCCGCAAAGGGCGAAAGCCUGACGGAGCAACGCCGCGUGAGUGAUGAAGGUCUUCGGAUCGUAAAACUCUGUUAUUAGGGAAGAACAAAUGUGUAAGUAACUAUGCACGUCUUGACGGUACCUAAUCAGAAAGCCACGGCUAACUACGUG
rnacentral:rRNA from 1 species